UGGUCUUAAGCCAUUGCACUGUUGGGAGAAGCUUCACUUUUGGGUUUUCGUAAUUUUUUAACUUAGAACAAAUAUAGGGUGCUGAGUUCCAAUAACCUCAUAAUAUUUAUCUUGUAAAGCAGAUUUGUUUCGGUAAUUGCAGAUGAUGGUUGUAAGGCUGUGAGCAUGGAUGAUGGUUGAUAGGCUAUUACCGAUGUCUUAAGAUUACUAACAUCUUUCACUGGGUAGAUGACGCCAAUAAUGCAAGGAUACAUGCAUGUUCUCAAGUUUUUAGACGAAAUCUGCGGGCAAUAAUCUUGUCGGUUUCUUUUUUAAAAAAAAUAAAGUGUUUCAUCGAAAGAAAAAUGGACUUCUCGUCUCUGCCGUUGCUGCCUCUAUCCACCGCCCCGGUCACUAGUGCUGCCAUGUUGCAGUCACGUCCGAAUUAAGCUCCGUGUGCGAAGGAUUGUUCAUGACAAGCUGGGCGCCAACCAUGCCCAGAGUUGUUUCGCCGUUCACUUCCAACGACACGGUUAUCACAUUGUUCAACCAAGUCGCAUUCCAAAUGUGUGCUCCAAUGAGGUAUCGUGACAGCCAUGAAGGUGCAGUAGAGCGUGCCGGACCGGAGCCCACGACGCGACGAUCUGCCACUGUUGAGCGCCAACCAUUCCUUGGUAUAAGAGAUCACGAGAGCGAUGGCCAAGCGCGGCAGGAGGCCACGAGGGUACGGUGAAGGGCUGAAAGCGACGCAGACGCAGUCGCAGCAGGAGUCUUAUUAGACGGGGGCCUUCCAUGUCGCCAGGUGUCUGCGCGCGUGGAUGGUACCCAUUCCACGUUGCAGGGGUGGAAGAAGCGGCACCGACGCAGCCUGGCCUUGCGCCGACUGCUGUUCGCUCGGAAGGAGUGUUCAGAGUGC